UGGUUCUGGCAUCGAUGAAGAACGCAGCGAAAUGCGAUAAGUAAUGUGAAUUGCAGAAUUCAGUGAAUCAUCGAAUCUUUGAACGCACAUUGCGCCCAAGAGUAUUCUCUUGGGCAUGCCUGUUCGAGCGUCAUUUCAACCCUUAAGCCUAGCUUAGUGUUGGGAAUCUACUGUCCUGUAGUUCCUGAAAACCAACGGCGGAUUUACAGUGUCCUCUAAGCGUAGUAAUUAUUAUCUCGCUUCUGUCAGGUGCCGUAACUCUAGCCGCUAAACCCCCCAAUUUUAAAGGUUGACCUCGGAUCAGGUAGGAAUACCCGCUGA
rnacentral:misc_RNA from 1 species